rnacentral:rRNA from 1 species
AGCGAACGCUGGCGGCAGGCUUAACACAUGCAAGUCGAGCGGGCGUAGCAAUACGUCAGCGGCAGACGGGUGAGUAACGCGUGGGAACGUACCUUUUGGUUCGGAACAACACAGGGAAACUUGUGCUAAUACCGGAUAAGCCCUUACGGGGAAAGAUUUAUCGCCGAAAGAUCGGCCCGCGUCUGAUUAGCUAGUUGGUGAGGUAACGGCUCACCAAGGCGACGAUCAGUAGCUGGUCUGAGAGGAUGAUCAGCCACAUUGGGACUGAGACACGGCCCAAACUCCUACGGGAGGCAGCAGUGGGGAAUAUUGGACAAUGGGCGCAAGCCUGAUCCAGCCAUGCCGCGUGAGUGAUGAAGGCCCUAGGGUUGUAAAGCUCUUUUGUGCGGGAAGAUAAUGACGGUACCGCAAGAAUAAGCCCCGGCUAACUUCGUGCCAGCAGCCGCGGUAAUACGAAGGGGGCUAGCGUUGCUCGGAAUCACUGGGCGUAAAGGGUGCGUAGGCGGGUCUUUAAGUCAGGGGUGAAAUCCUGGAGCUCAACUCCAGAACUGCCUUUGAUACUGAGG